UCGGAUUACUGGGCUUAAAGAGUUCGUAGGUGGUUGAAAAAGUUGGUGGUGAAAUCCCAGAGCUUAACUCUGGAACUGCCAUCAAAACUUUUCAGCUAGAGUAUGAUAGAGGAAAGCAGAAUUUCUAGUGUAGAGGUGAAAUUCGUAGAUAUUAGAAAGAAUACCAAUUGCGAAGGCAGCUUUCUGGAUCAUUACUGACACUGAGGAACGAAAGCAUGGGUAGCGAAGAGGAUUAGAUACCCUCGUAGUCCAUGCCGUAAACGAUGUGUGUUAGACGUUGGAAAUUUAUUUUCAGUGUCGCAGCGAAAGCGAUAAACACACCGCCUGGGGAGUACGACCGCAAGGUUAAAACUCAAAUGAAUUGACGGGGACCCGCACAAGUAGUGGAGCAUGUGGUUUAAUUCGAAGAUACGCGCAGAACCUUACCAACACUUGACAUGUUCGUCGCGACUUUAAGAGAUUAAAGUUUUCGGUUCGGCCGGACGAAACACAGGUGCUGCAUGGCUGUCGUCAGCUCGUGUCGUGAGAUGUUGGGUUAAGUCCCGCAACGAGCGCAACCCUCACUUUUAGUUGCCAUCAUUUAGUUGGGCACUCUGAAAGAACUGCCAGUGAUAAGCUGGAGGAAGGUGGGGAUGACGUCAAGUCCUCAUGGCCCUUACGUGUUGGGCUACACACGUGCUACAAUGGUAUCUACAACAGGAAGCAAAACUGCGAAGUUAAGCAAAUCCUUAAAAGAUACCUCAGUUCGGAUUGCACUCUGCAACUCGAGUGCAUGAAGCUGGAAUUACUAGUAAUCGUGGAUCAGCGUGCCACGGUGAAUGCGUUCCCGGGUCUUGUACACACCGCCCGUCACACCAUGGGAGUUGGUUCUACCU
rnacentral:rRNA from 1 species